GAUGAACGCUGGCGGCGUGCCUAAUACAUGCAAGUCGAGCGAACGGACGAGAAGCUUGCUUCUCUGAUGUUAGCGGCGGACGGGUGAGUAACACGUGGAUAACCUACCUAUAAGACUGGGAUAACUUCGGGAAACCGGAGCUAAUACCGGAUAAUAUUUUGAACCGCAUGGUUCAAAAGUGAAAGACGGUCUUGCUGUCACUUAUAGAUGGAUCCGCGCUGCAUUAGCUAGUUGGUAAGGUAACGGCUUACCAAGGCAACGAUGCAUAGCCGACCUGAGAGGGUGAUCGGCCACACUGGAACUGAGACACGGUCCAGACUCCUACGGGAGGCAGCAGUAGGGAAUCUUCCGCAAUGGGCGAAAGCCUGACGGAGCAACGCCGCGUGAGUGAUGAAGGUCUUCGGAUCGUAAAACUCUGUUAUUAGGGAAGAACAUAUGUGUAAGUAACUGUGCACAUCUUGACGGUACCUAAUCAGAAAGCCACGGCUAACUACGUGCCAGCAGCCGCGGUAAUACGUAGGUGGCAAGCGUUAUCCGGAAUUAUUGGGCGUAAAGCGCGCGUAGGCGGUUUUUUAAGUCUGAUGUGAAAGCCCACGGCUCAACCGUGGAGGGUCAUUGGAAACUGGAAAACUUGAGUGCAGAAGAGGAAAGUGGAAUUCCAUGUGUAGCGGUGAAAUGCGCAGAGAUAUGGAGGAACACCAGUGGCGAAGGCGACUUUCUGGUCUGUAACUGACGCUGAUGUGCGAAAGCGUGGGGAUCAAACAGGAUUAGAUACCCUGGUAGUCCACGCCGUAAACGAUGAGUGCUAAGUGUUAGGGGGUUUCCGCCCCUUAGUGCCGCAGCUAACGCAUUAAGCACUCCGCCUGGGGAGUACGACCGCAAGGUUGAAACUCAAAGGAAUUGACGGGGACCCGCACAAGCGGUGGAGCAUGUGGUUUAAUUCGAAGCAACGCGAAGAACCUUACCAAAUCUUGACAUCCUUUGACAACUCUAGAGAUAGAGCUUUCCCCUUCGGGGGACAAAGUGACAGGUGGUGCAUGGUUGUCGUCAGCUCGUGUCGUGAGAUGUUGGGUUAAGUCCCGCAACGAGCGCAACCCUUAAGCUUAGUUGCCAUCAUUAAGUUGGGCACUCUAAGUUGACUGCCGGUGACAAACCGGAGGAAGGUGGGGAUGACGUCAAAUCAUCAUGCCCCUUAUGAUUUGGGCUACACACGUGCUACAAUGGACAAUACAAAGGGCAGCGAAACCGCGAGGUCAAGCAAAUCCCAUAAAGUUGUUCUCAGUUCGGAUUGUAGUCUGCAACUCGACUACAUGAAGCUGGAAUCGCUAGUAAUCGUAGAUCAGCAUGCUACGGUGAAUACGUUCCCGGGUCU
rnacentral:rRNA from 1 species